GGCACGAUAGUCUAGUGGCUAUGGUUAGGGUGUUUGACUCCCAGUCAAAAGGUUCUGGGUUUGAACCCCAAUUGUGUUCU